rnacentral:rRNA from 1 species
AGGACAAACGCUGGCGGGGUGCAUGAGACAUGCAAGUCGAACGAGGUGCCAUCGGGCUUGCUCGAUGGUUACCGAGUGGCGGACGGCUGAGUAACGCGUAGGUGACCUACCCGGAAGUGGGGAAUAACUGCCCGAAAGGGUGGCUAAUACCGCAUGUGGUCGGCGAUUCAUGUCGCCGUCUAAAGGAGAAAUCCGCUUCCGGCGGGGCCUGGCGUCCGAUUAGCUAGUUGGUGGGGUAACGGCUCACCAAGGCGACGAUCGGUAGCUGGUCUGAGAGGAUGAUCAGCCAGACUGGGACUGAGAACGCCCAGACUCCGUACGGGAGGCAGCAGUCGGGAAUUUGCCAA